CCAAAAAAGAUAUUGUACUUCCAAAGACAAAGAGGAAGCCACAACAAGAUGGAAUUCAUAUUUGUGAAGCAAAGAAAUAAGCCCAGCUGUGAAAAGAGCAUCUCUCUCAGUGGUUGGAAUACCAGAGGCCACUGCUGCAAUUCUUCUGGAAAGAAAUCAAAAUCCCAACAGGAGUGGAAAAUCACUGGUAUCAAGAGCCUUUGGAAGUUGAUUUUUUAUUUGUGCUUAUUCUUGAGUGAUAUUUUUUCCCACUGCCAGCCCAUUUCUUGCUGAGUGUUCUCUAGCUCACCAAAGUCUUGUGUAUUAAAUGAUUACCUCUGUUGUAAACUAGAGAAGCAAGUGAAUCUGACAGUUAAGUAAUUAGUGAAACCAUUGCCUAUAUCCCUCACUCCAUUAUCCUAACUGUACCCUUUAAAUUGUACCCCAAGAGCCACUUAGAAACCUCUUUUUCUUCAAAGUCCAUUACUCCUUAUAUGUAAGUCUUAUACCUCCCCAGGUUCUUAAUAAAUCAUAAGAAGAUUUGAUAUGUAUAGAAUCGGGUUUCAAAAAAGUAACUUAAAAAAAAAAACUUUUAGAGUUAUGCAAAAUGAAGCUGGCUUACCCCUGAAAGGUGCAAGGUACGUUCCUGCCAACACAUUAAUUGUUAUAGUAAUUUAAGUAAUGGCAUGAUGUUAUUGUCCACUCAGUGUCUAUUUCCUGGACUAUUCUGUUCCAUAAAAUGAAUAGAAUGAAAGUAAAUAUGCUUUUACAACAUUUUCUCCAAAUCUUGUCAUGAUCACAAUGGAUAUAGAAACAGUUGGGACUAACAUAUGUUAUUCUCUGAAAUUAAGAUCCCUGCAUGCCUUUAACAAGAUGAGUCAUAGUCCUUUCACCAAAGUCAGAAAAUGUAUCCUGGUUACUUUUCUCUCAUUUCAUUUAUGUUAUUAAGAAAAAGCUAAGCAAAUCACUAACUUGCCACUUCAAGAUGCUCAGACAACGAAAAACUAAAUAAAAAACAAAACAAAACAUGGUGUUUAUGACGCCAAUACAUUAAAGUCAAAGGUUUAGGUUUUCCUUGGCUAGUUUAUCAUCUUUCCUUCUAACAAAUUAGAUGUUGCAAGAGAGAGAGGAGGAGUGGGGGAGAGAGGCCUUGUCCUUAGAAAAGAUAAGUAAGUAUUAAUGCUCGUUGUGCCAGAUCAAAGUGAACAGACAAAUGACAAUCAGAACGCAUAAGCUAUAGUUGAAUCCCAACACCUGGAGAGUCUUAGAUGCUGCCAAAUUAAAAUGCAGUGCCUGCAUAGCAAAUGAAACUGUAAAACAAAAGACAAUCUACAGAAUGGGAGAAAAUAUUUGUAAACAAUGCGACCGACAAGGGCUUAAUCUCCAAAAUAUACGAACAGC